UACGUAGGGUGCAAGCGUUAAUCGGAAUUACUGGGCGUAAAGCGUGCGCAGGCGGUUAUGUAAGACAGGUGUGAAAUCCCCGGGCUUAACCUGGGAACUGCAUUUGUGACUGCAUAGCUAGAGUACGGUAGAGGGGGAUGGAAUUCCGCGUGUAGCAGUGAAAUGCGUAGAUAUGCGGAGGAACACCCGUGGCGAAGGCGGCUCUCUGGAACGCAACUGACGCUGAGCAGCGAAAGCGUGGGGAGCAAAACAGG
rnacentral:rRNA from 1 species